AUGACAUCCCGAAUUCAAAAAUACUUGAACAAAAUGGGGCGAUCUAAGAUACCCAAUACAAAUGAUGCGGUCGAAUGGGUCUUGAGAGGCGGUUGCGUCACUUCCCUCGCCGUUUUGCUCCGCCGUGUCUCCUCCUUGCAACGACGCAGCUUACCUUCACUCUCUGAUCCAUCGUUAGUCCAAGUUUCUCAUCAUAAAUUAUAUUCGGAGUUACCAUAUCUGUAG